rnacentral:lncRNA from 1 species
UGGAGUGAGCCGAUUAUGAUCGGAUGGCUCAGAUCAUUCUGAGGUUGAUUAGAAGCUUGGGGACACCAGAUUGUGUGAUUAGAUAGCCACAAUUUGAGCCGAUCAUGAUCGAACGGUUAGAAGUGAUUCUAAGGUUUGAUUUAGACUCAGUCUCCUAGUGAAACACUGUUUUGGAGUUUUUGGAGGUUAUAAAACUCUGAUUGACGAUCUAUUUAUUGUGUUAGAUAGCUGGUGACAUCCUGAUCAUACAGAGAGGCUUCUUGAAAGAUUUUAGAGAACUUUUAUGAGAAUUUUGAGAUUUUUUGUUGAG